rnacentral:tRNA from 1 species
GGCUCCGUGGUCAAACGGUUAAGACACCACCCUUUCACGGUGGUAUUAUGGGUUCAAAUCCCGUCGGAGUCA